GACGAACGCUGGCGGCGUGCUUAACACAUGCAAGUCGAACGAUGAAGCCGGAGCUUGCUCUGGUGAAUUAGUGGCGAACGGGUGAGUAACACGUGAGUAACCUGCCCUUGACUCUGGGAUAACUGCGGGAAACUGUAGCUAAUACCGGAUACGACCCUCGGAGGCAUCUCCUGGGGGUGGAAAGAAGUUCGGGCAAGGAUGGCCUCGCGGCCUAUCAGCUAGGUGGUGAGGUAAAGGCUCACCAAGGGGCCGGCGGGUAGCCGGCCGGGGAGGGGGACCGGCCACACUGGGACUGCGACACGGCCGAGACUCCUACGGGAGGCAGCAGUGGGGAAUAUUGCACAAUGGGCGCAAGCCUGAUGAAGCAACGCCGCGUGAGGGAUGACGGCCUUCGGGUUGUAAACCUCUUUUAGCAGGGAAGAAGCGAAAGUGACGGUACCUGCAGAAAAAGCACCGGCUAACUACGUGCCAGCAGCCGCCGUAA
rnacentral:rRNA from 1 species